ACAUCUAAACACUUGACCAUGAUUCGAUCUCUCUUUUUCCUUGCUUUGGCACUAUGUGCUGUUAAUGCCAAAUACUUUGGAGGAGGAUAUGGAGGACUAGGCGGAUAUGGAGGUUUAGGAGGCGGAUAUGGAGGUUUAGGAGGUGGAUAUGGAGG